rnacentral:rRNA from 1 species
CGUAACAAGGUCUCCGUUGGUGAACCAGCGGAGGGAUCAUUACC